AUUGAACGCUGGCGGCAGGCCUAACACAUGCAAGUCGAACGAGUGGCGGACGGGUGAGUAAUGUCUGGGAAACUGCCUGAUGGAGGGGGAUAACUACUGGAAACGGUAGCUAAUACCGCAUACCAUCGGAUGUCCCCAUAUGGGAUUAGCUAGUAGGUGGGGUAAAGGCUCACCUAGGCGACGACCCCUAGCUGGUCUGAGAGGAUGACAGGCCACACUGGAACUGAAACACGGUCCGCACUCUUAGGGAGGGAAGCGGGGGGAAAUAUUGAACAAUGGGCGCAAGCCGGAUGCGCCCAUGCGGGGUGUAUAAAGAGGUCCUUCGGGUUGAAAAGUACUUUCGGCAGGGAGGCGUUACCCGAAAAAGAAGCACCGGUAAACUCCGUGCCAGCAGCCGGGGUAAUA
rnacentral:rRNA from 1 species